GACGAACGCUGGCGGCGUGCUUAACACAUGCAAGUCGAGCGGUAAGGCUCCUUCGGGGGUACACGAGCGGCGAACGGGUGAGUAACACGUGAGUAAUCUGCCCCUGGCUCUGGGAUAAGCAUUCGAAAGGGUGUCUAAUACCGGAUAUGACAAUCCUCCGUAUGGGGUGGUUGUGGAAAGUUUUUUCGGCUGGGGAUGUGCUCGCGGCCUAUCAGCUUGUUGGUGGGGUAAUGGCCUACCAGGCUUUGACGGGUAACCGGCCUGAGAGGGUGACCGGUCACACUGGGACUGAGACACGGCCCAGACUCCUACGGGAGGCAGCAGUGGGGAAUAUUGGACAAUGGGCGGAAGCCUGAUCCAGCAACGCCGCGUGAGGGAUGACGGCCUUCGGGUUGUAAACCUCUUUCAGCGAGGACGAAGCGUGAGUGACGGUACUCGCAGAAGAAGGACCGGCCAACUACGUGCCAGCAGCCGCGGUAA
rnacentral:rRNA from 1 species